UGUAAACAGCUGUUAAACUGUUCCGUAUUUAGUUAUCGGCAGAACUUGUUAUCGAAAACGCUGACCAAUAUUCAACUCCGCUGUCCGAAUUGAAAUAGUCGUUAAAUUAGUUUACCAUUUAAAUAUCUCAUUAAAUCGUUGAAUUACCUUGGCCAACAAAACGACUAGACAAGACUAGUGGACAUUUAUAAAAUCGGAGGAGGAAUUGCCAAUAGAUCUCUGCACCAAGCUGAGAACUUAAUGGCGCAUUAUUGUUGCUUACUAGACGUGAUAUUUUAACUAUUGCUUUGCUAAUUUAAUAAUUAUUAAGUGAUAGUUUGACUCCAGAGAUGUGCAUCCAAAGUUCUAGUGUCUGGAGUGAUCCAAUAAGCUGCGCAUAGUGGCCAUAACUGCUGGAUGAUGGUUCUCCCUUGCCAGAGAAGGAACUCUGCUGGAUAGGAUUGCCUGAUAAAAAUCACUGAAGUUUCGGGGCUAGUUGCCAGAUUUUUGACACUGCCGGUACAUUAAAAAAGGCCAUGCCUCUAUUACCAUAUACGAUUGUGAGAAGUGCAGCGGGUUUUAUAAAGAACUCGGGGCUUUCAGAGUCAGAGCUGCUUCAAUCAUGGAUCGCAGAAAAGUACCCUUAUUACUCCUGCACCAUCUGGGAUGUGCUCCUACGCCUGCGUCCACUGGAACCGGUGUCACGAGCGCAUUCACACCGAUGACCUUUAGUCGGGCGGGGCAGCUCUGAAAGCACGAGAGGCGUCACAAUGAUAAGCUGGAGACGCCGAUUUUGGCCAGUGCACUCUGAGUCGCGGUCAAGCUCACAACCGUUCCUAUUCGCAAACCGACAAGAUGUUCCGAAUUAACAUUCGAGAAACAAAAACAAAACCACCUAAACCCUAAUGUGUAUGUCUUUUCAAUCUGUUGUAACCCUGUUGUGUGUAAUUUCUAAUGUAAAAAACUUGAAUCAACGGCAGCUAUAGCUAGGGAACAUAAUAAUUGUGUAUUAACAGCUUUUAACGUUGUUAUUUAAUUGAAUUUUAUUUAUAUAUAAAUGUUUUUAAAAUAAUUUCAAACGUAA